rnacentral:rRNA from 1 species
ACGUAGGGUGCGAGCGUUAAUCGGAAUUACUGGGCGUAAAGCGUGCGCAGGCGGUUGUGCAAGACAGAUGUGAAAUCCCCGGGCUCAACCUGGGAACUGCAUUUGUGACUGCACGACUAGAGUACGACAAAGAGGGAUGGAAUUCCGCGUGUAGCAGUGAAAUGCGUAGAUAUGCGGAGGAACACCGAUGGCGAAGGCAAUCCCCUGGGCCUGCACUGACGCUCAUGCACGAAAGCGUGGGGAGCAAACAG